ACUUAGCAAAGAUACCCUGGAAAAAAAGAAUGCAGUUUUUCUCCCCCUUUUACAAGAUGCUAUUGAAUUCCUUUCUUUUAUAGAUGUCCUGCCAGUGGCAUGGAAGCAGUUCAAAGUGGGGAAGAGAGCAUCAUCCUAUUGGAAUUGGACACCUACACCCUCAUCUCUGGCUGGAUUUGUGGGUUCACAGCUAAACUCAAGCACCUACCAAGAGUCGGGACUUGUGACUCUGAAGUCAAGUUAUCAAGCUAAGCUGUGAGAAGCGAGUGAAGAGGGUCUGAGUUCCACAACCUCUUAGUUCUGUCCCACUGUCUCUCUGGAACAUCGUGGAAUGGAAGGCAAACCCAGAACCUGAAAGAAGCCAUCCUCUUCUUGAAUCUCAAGCAUCCCAAGGAUGAAGCAUAUGUUCUGGCCAGCACACAGCAUCACAGAAGAUCGUGCCAAUAAAACCAGACCAGACACCACUCCACUCCCUCUCAGAUCCUCCUUGGGGGAGCAGUUGUCCCUGCCGCCUCCAAGUUCAGCUUGAACAGAACUAACGAAAAACUACCCAAGUGCCAAAGACUUAAGACCAUUCUGAGA
ensembl:lncRNA